rnacentral:rRNA from 1 species
UACAGAGGUCCCGAGCGUUGUUCGGAUUCAUUGGGCGUAAAGGGUGCGUAGGCGGUUAGGUAAGUUUGAUGUGAAAUCCUGGGGCUCAACCCUGGAACUGCAUUGAAUACUGCUUGACUAGAGUACUGGAGAGGAAACUGGAAUUCACGGUGUAGCAGUGAAAUGCGUAGAGAUCGUGAGGAAGACCAGUGGCGAAGGCGGCUCUCUGGGACGGUACUGACGCUGAGACGCGAAAGCGUGGGGAGCGAACAGG